rfam:Triticum aestivum genome assembly, contig: Triticum_aestivum_CS42_TGACv1_scaffold_020460_1AS
CUGCUACUCACUCCGUCCGAAAAUACUUGUCAUCAAAAUGGAUAAAAAGAGGUGUAUCUAGACCUCUUUUUAUCCAUUUUGAUGACAAGUAUUUUCGGAUGGAGAGAGUAGAAU